rnacentral:tRNA from 1 species
GGAUGUAUCUCAGUGGUAGAGUGCUUGCCUAGCAUGCAUGAAGCCUGGGUUCUUUCCCAAGCACCA